rfam:Felis catus isolate Cinnamon breed Abyssinian chromosome A1, whole genome shotgun sequence.
GCCUGGGUGGCUCAGUUGGCUUAGCAUCUGACUUCGGCUCAGGUCAUGAUCUCACGGUUCGUGGGUUCGAGCCCCGCGUCGGGCU